AGUGAACGCUGGCGGUAGGCCUAACACAUGCAAGUCGAACGGCAGCACAGUAAGAGCUUGCUCUUACGGGUGGCGAGUGGCGGACGGGUGAGGAAUACAUCGGAAUCUACUUUUUCGUGGGGGAUAACGUAGGGAAACUUACGCUAAUACCGCAUACGACCUACGGGUGAAAGCAGGGGAUCUUCGGACCUUGCGCGAUUGAAUGAGCCGAUGUCGGAUUAGCUAGUUGGCGGGGUAAAGGCCCACCAAGGCGACGAUCCGUAGCUGGUCUGAGAGGAUGAUCAGCCACACUGGAACUGAGACACGGUCCAGACUCCUACGGGAGGCAGGAGUUGGGAAUAUUGGACAAAGGGGGCAAGCCUGAUCCAGCCAUACCGCGUGGGUGAAGAAGGCCUUCGGGUUUUAAAGCCCUUUUGUUGGGAAAGAAAAGCAGCAGGUUAAUACCCCGCUGUUCUGACGGUACCCAAAGAAUAAGCACCGGCUAACUUCGUG
rnacentral:rRNA from 1 species